GCGCGCUCCCAUGCUGACAGGAGGGCUCUCAGCAGGGAAACCCUGGAAAACUCAUCCAGAGAAAGACAGAGAUCUUUCCACCAGGACACAUCACAACUCAACAGAAAGAGUCUUCAAAGAGAUAAGAAUAAGAGAGAUUCAAACCUGGGUGAAGAAGCGCAAGGAUAGUGCAAGAGCUUAGACAACAAUGAAAACUUUUAUUCUAGGACGAGAAAUAGAACAGGCUCAACUGCUUUGGUGUUUGUUGUAAAACUCUGGCCUAAAAGCAUUUUUCCUCUUAGUCCAUGUGUCAGCCUUCAGUAACAGCUCCUGCACGUUGGCUCAGCAGCGCGGGUGAGUCAGCGGCCCAGAGAGCGGGAGCGAGGAGCUGAGGGCACUCGCAGCCAGAACUGAGCUGAAACCAGGCAGAACUGAAAAGCUCUUCACCCAACAUGGUCUUCUCCUUUCAGCACAUUUAAACAUCCCUGUGGGAAAUGCUCUACCUGUGAGUCAGCAAAAUGCCUUAAGCACAGUUCACUGGAGAAGCCCUAUUUAAGUAACAACAGAAAGGUAUUAGAAAAUAAUGAAUAUAAGAGUGAUGGUGGAAAUUCUGUGUUUAGGGACACAAGAUGAGUGGAGAAGAAUGGUUUUGUUCUACUAACUGACAGGGUUAUAUAUAAGGCUGCAGCCAACAAAGCCAGCCUUGGGAUCAGGGAGGGCCCAAGCUGCUGCUGGUGGUGGGACUAAAUCCUGAGCUGUGUCCUGUGGUCUCUGGCUACUGAUGGGACAGUCAUACAGAAAACUUCUUUCAGCUCUAUCUCAGCUGUCAGGCAGUGAGCUCAGCUGGCAACCUGCAUCCCCUGCACUCGUCUCUGACCAUGGUUAUUUGGUAAAUUGUGUAUUAGUCAGAACAUAUCCUCCAUGAGAACCAGCUGUUGCAGCUUCAUUGCUGCCACUUACACCAGCUUGGGAUAAAUCACUUAUUUACAAAGUACCACUACUUUCAGAAAUUUUAAUAAUCACCCCAGAAGGAGCUUCAAUAGAAGUAUAAAAAUUCCAUGAUCUCAAGAGCCAGGUGUUGAUGUAUGUUUCUUAUGGAGAGAUGCAUUGUUUCUUGCCAGGUGCCAUAAAACUAGACUGUCCUCUAGAUUGCAACAUAUAUAUUCAAAUGAUAGUGUAAUUCAUGGCACAGAAAUAAAAAAAAAAAAAAGGGGACAAGUAGUAACAGAGACAGAUGAAUUAAUAAAGCCCUAAUUAUGGGUAUCAGAAAAAAUUUUAAGGGAAGAAACAUCCUAGCAGCCCCUGAGGCCCCUUUCUUCCUCAGGACAAGGCUUACAGGGCUGUGGCAACACCUCAGGUGCCCUUCAUUUAUCGUGGUCAGGACAAAGGACCUGAGCACCUACUGGCCAAGCCUUCCCUGAGCACAGGGCAGUGCCUUCCUGGCUGGGGAUUUGUGUGAGCAAAGCACUUGUGCUCUACUCCCACCCAAACCCCACCUCAAGGACACUGGGUGGAGAUGGAGAGGACAAAAGAGACAGCCAGUGCCCCAAGCACAUCUAUAAAUCCUGGUCACACCAGAGGAGAGAGAACAUUUCUACUUUAUCACCAAAGAGACUUGGUAUUUUGAGAGAUAAAAUUUUUUUAAAGCUCUGAAAGGGCAAACCCUGUAACAUUUUCAUUUACCUAUUUUUCAUUAAAUCUCCUCCACUUUCUGAUUACAUUCCAAAUUAUCAGACACAAGAAGGUAUUAGUAAACAAUAUCUUUAACCAAAAUGCAGUUUCCUCUCAUGUCAAAAAGAAAGAUAAUCUGUGUAACUUUGGGGAUUUGGAGGCCUUUCUAUCAGAAAACGUCUUUUCCUCGCAUUAGCUAAUUCAAGGGAACCUUCUAAAUAGUCCUCCAGAGACAGCAGUUCCCUUUUAUUGCAUUCAUCUGUCUUUUAUGGCUUUGCUCUCAUGAAAGAUUAAUAGCUGUAAAGGUCAAGGGUCAGUGUGAACAUUUAGUCUGACCUGCAUAGCAUAGGCUAUCAAAUUUUACCCAGUAAUUCUUGCACCGAAUCCCAUUAAUUGGAGAUAAAGCAACAUACAUCUUUUAGUAAGAAAUAUUUUCUUGAUUUAAAGGCUGCAAAUUAUGAGAAGCCUGCUCCAUAAAUUUGUUUCAUGGUUUAUUUACCCUGACCUGCAAAUUUUCUCUAGAGCUUAUUAAGAUUU